rnacentral:rRNA from 1 species
GGGUUGUGAGGUUAAGCGACUAAGCGUACACGGUGGAUGCCCUGGCAGUCAGAGGCGAUGAAGGACGUGCUAAUCUGCGAUAAGCGUCGGUAAGGUGAUAUGAACCGUUAUAACCGGCGAUUUCCGAAUGGGGAAACCCAGUGUGUUUCGACACACUAUCAUUAACUGAAUCCAUAGGUUAAUGAGGCGAACCGGGGGAACUGAAACAUCUAAGUACCCCGAGGAAAAGAAAUCAACCGAGAUUCCCCCAGUAGCGGCGAGCGAACGGGGAGCAGCCCAGAGCCUGAAUCAGUAUGUGUGUUAGUGGAAGCGUCUGGAAAGGCGCGCGAUACAGGGUGACAGCCCCGUACACAAAAAUGCACAUAUUGUGAGCUCGAUGAGUAGGGCGGGACACGUGGUAUCCUGUCUGAAUAUGGGGGGACCAUCCUCCAAGGCUAAAUACUCCUGACUGACCGAUAGUGAACCAGUACCGUGAGGGAAAGGCGAAAAGAACCCCGGCGAGGGGAGUGAAAAAGAACCUGAAACCGUGUACGUACAAGCAGUGGGAGCACGCUUAGGCGUGUGACUGCGUACCUUUUGUAUAAUGGGUCAGCGACUUAUAUUCUGUAGCAAGGUUAACCGAAUAGGGGAGCCGAAGGGAAACCGAGUCUUAACUGGGCGUUAAGUUGCAGGGUAUAGACCCGAAACCCGGUGAUCUAGCCAUGGGCAGGUUGAAGGUUGGGUAACACUAACUGGAGGACCGAACCGACUAAUGUUGAAAAAUUAGCGGAUGACUUGUGGCUGGGGGUGAAAGGCCAAUCAAACCGGGAGAUAGCUGGUUCUCCCCGAAAGCUAUUUAGGUAGCGCCUCGUGAAUUCAUCUCCGGGGGUAGAGCACUGUUUCGGCAAGGGGGUCAUCCCGACUUACCAACCCGAUGCAAACUGCGAAUACCGGAGAAUGUUAUCACGGGAGACACACGGCGGGUGCUAACGUCCGUCGUGAAGAGGGAAACAACCCAGACCGCCAGCUAAGGUCCCAAAGUCAUGGUUAAGUGGGAAACGAUGUGGGAAGGCCCAGACAGCCAGGAUGUUGGCUUAGAAGCAGCCAUCAUUUAAAGAAAGCGUAAUAGCUCACUGGUCGAGUCGGCCUGCGCGGAAGAUGUAACGGGGCUAAACCAUGCACCGAAGCUGCGGCAGCGACACUAUGUGUUGUUGGGUAGGGGAGCGUUCUGUAAGCCUGUGAAGGUGUGCUGUGAGGCAUGCUGGAGGUAUCAGAAGUGCGAAUGCUGACAUAAGUAACGAUAAAGCGGGUGAAAAGCCCGCUCGCCGGAAGACCAAGGGUUCCUGUCCAACGUUAAUCGGGGCAGGGUGAGUCGACCCCUAAGGCGAGGCCGAAAGGCGUAGUCGAUGGGAAACAGGUUAAUAUUCCUGUACUUGGUGUUACUGCGAAGGGGGACGGAGAAGGCUAUGUUGGCCGGGCGACGGUUGUCCCGGUUUAAGCGUGUAGGCUGGUUUUCCAGGCAAAUCCGGAAAAUCAAGGCUGAGGCGUGAUGACGAGGCACUACGGUGCUGAAGCAACAAAUGCCCUGCUUCCAGGAAAAGCCUCUAAGCAUCAGGUAACAUCAAAUCGUACCCCAAACCGACACAGGUGGUCAGGUAGAGAAUACCAAGGCGCUUGAGAGAACUCGGGUGAAGGAACUAGGCAAAAUGGUGCCGUAACUUCGGGAGAAGGCACGCUGAUAUGUAGGUGAAGUCCCUCGCGGAUGGAGCUGAAAUCAGUCGAAGAUACCAGCUGGCUGCAACUGUUUAUUAAAAACACAGCACUGUGCAAACACGAAAGUGGACGUAUACGGUGUGACGCCUGCCCGGUGCCGGAAGGUUAAUUGAUGGGGUUAGCCGCAAGGCGAAGCUCUUGAUCGAAGCCCCGGUAAACGGCGGCCGUAACUAUAACGGUCCUAAGGUAGCGAAAUUCCUUGUCGGGUAAGUUCCGACCUGCACGAAUGGCGUAAUGAUGGCCAGGCUGUCUCCACCCGAGACUCAGUGAAAUUGAACUCGCUGUGAAGAUGCAGUGUACCCGCGGCAAGACGGAAAGACCCCGUGAACCUUUACUAUAGCUUGACACUGAACAUUGAGCCUUGAUGUGUAGGAUAGGUGGGAGGCUUUGAAGUGUGGACGCCAGUCUGCAUGGAGCCGACCUUGAAAUACCACCCUUUAAUGUUUGAUGUUCUAACGUUGACCCGUAAUCCGGGUUGCGGACAGUGUCUGGUGGGUAGUUUGACUGGGGCGGUCUCCUCCUAAAGAGUAACGGAGGAGCACGAAGGUUGGCUAAUCCUGGUCGGACAUCAGGAGGUUAGUGCAAUGGCAUAAGCCAGCUUGACUGCGAGCGUGACGGCGCGAGCAGGUGCGAAAGCAGGUCAUAGUGAUCCGGUGGUUCUGAAUGGAAGGGCCAUCGCUCAACGGAUAAAAGGUACUCCGGGGAUAACAGGCUGAUACCGCCCAAGAGUUCAUAUCGACGGCGGUGUUUGGCACCUCGAUGUCGGCUCAUCACAUCCUGGGGCUGAAGUAGGUCCCAAGGGUAUGGCUGUUCGCCAUUUAAAGUGGUACGCGAGCUGGGUUUAGAACGUCGUGAGACAGUUCGGUCCCUAUCUGCCGUGGGCGCUGGAGAACUGAGGGGGCUGCUCCUAGUACGAGAGGACCGGAGUGGACGCAUCACUGGUGUUCGGGUUGUCAUGCCAAUGGCACUGCCCGGUAGCUAAAUGCGGAAGAGAUAAGUGCUGAAAGCAUCUAAGCACGAAACUUGCCCCGAGAUGAGUUCUCCCUGACUCCUUGAGAGUCCUGAAGGAACGUUGAAGACGACGACGUUGAUAGGCCGGGUGUGUAAGCGCAGCGAUGCGUUGAGCUAACCGGUACUAAUGAACCGUGAGGCUUAACCUUACAACGCCGAAGGUGUUU